UACGGAGGGUGCAAGCGUUGUUCGGAAUUAUUGGGCGUAAAGCGCGCGUAGGCGGCUUGGCAAGUCGGGUGUGAAAUCCCGGGGCUCAACCCCGGAACUGCAUUCGAAACUGUCUAGCUAGAGUCCCGGAGAGGAUGGCGGAAUUCCCGGUGUAGAGGUGAAAUUCGUAGAUAUCGGGAGGAACACCAGUGGCGAAGGCGGCCAUCUGGACGGUGACUGACGCUGAGGUGCGAAAGCGUGGGGAGCAAACAGGAUUAGAAACCCCAGUAGUCC
rnacentral:rRNA from 1 species